rnacentral:misc_RNA from 1 species
CAAAUGAUAGUUGUUUUGCAUAAUCUCACUACUAUCUUUUCCCUUUCUUAUUUAUAAAAUGAUGUUUAUUUAUUAAAAGUAUAUAUAAAAUAUGGCAAAAUAAAAAUGUGACAGCACUAAAGUGUGCUUCAAGUGCACCAAUCAUCUUUGGACCGUACAUUUGUUCAAUUUGAUUGGGAUUGGGGAAGUAGAUUGAUUCUUCAGGGUGAGAGGAGAUUGGGACAUAUUGGCAUCGUCCGAAAAGGAAAAAUCGGAACUGAACUACAUCCCACGUACAGAACGAUUGUUUACAUACAUUACCGAAGAUCGAUAAAUAUGGGUGGAAGAAGAAUAAGAGAGGUCAAACGAAAUGCAAGGACAUUCAACUCAAAAUUCGUCGACACUGUUUUCCACAAAGACAUGAUAUUACAUAUUUCCAAGAACACCUCAAACAACGUCUAAUAUCAUUCGGUUAUAAAAAUAGAUUAAUGCAGUGUAUAUGUAUGUUCGUUUGGGGAAAGACGAAUACAACGAGCGAAAUACUUGCUGCACGUGUUACGAUCGAUGGAAGACUUCGCUAAAACGAUAGGUGCGCCAAAGGGAAUCGAGCGAAUGAACUAUUUCGUACAAAUAAAUGAUCACUCAUUCAUAAAUAAGAUUUAAAGA